UAUAUAGUAUACUAUUUCGGUUCUUUGUAUAUAAAUUACAAAGAUUAAAGGGAAUCUGGUGAAAAUCCAGAGCGGUCCGGCCACUGUAAGUGGGAAGUAAUCCUUGUAUAUGCCACUGGAUGAAUUUCUGGGAAGGCAAAGGAAAACGAUGAUCCAUAAGUCAGGAUACCUGCCAAAAUAGCAUUACAUUA
rnacentral:ncRNA from 2 species